GAUGAACGCUAGCGGCAGGCCUAACACAUGCAAGUCAGGGGUAACAUGAAAAGCUUGCUUUUCUGAUGACGACCGGCGCACGGGUGCGUAACGCGUAUACAACCUACCUUUUAGCGGGGAAUAGCCCAGGGAAACUUGGAUUAAUGCCCCAUAGUAUAUAGACUUCUCCUGAAGUUUAUAUUAAACAUUUAUGGCCAUUAGAUGGGUAUGCGUCCUAUUAGCUAGUUGGUGUGGUAACGGCACACCAAGGCUACGAUAGGUAGGGGUCCUGAGAGGGAGAUCCCCACACUGGUACUGAGACACGGACCAGACUCCUACGGGAGGCAGCAGUGAGGAAUAUUGGACAAUGGGCGAGAGCCUGAUCCAGCCAUGCCGCGUGCAGGAAGACUGCCCUAUGGGUUGUAAACUGCUUUUACAGAGGAAGAACCACCCCACGUGUGGGGGUUUGACGGUACUCUGCGAAUAAGGAUCGGCUAACUCCGUG
rnacentral:rRNA from 1 species